GAUGAACGCUGGCGGCGUGCCUAAUACAUGCAAGUCGAGCGAACAGACGAGGAGCUUGCUCCUCUGACGUUAGCGGCGGACGGGUGAGUAACACGUGGAUAACCUACCUAUAAGACUGGGAUAACUUCGGGAAACCGGAGCUAAUACCGGAUAAUAUAUUGAACCGCAUGGUUCAAUAGUGAAAGACGGUUUUGCUGUCACUUAUAGAUGGAUCCGCGCCGCAUUAGCUAGUUGGUAAGGUAACGGCUUACCAAGGCAACGAUGCGUAGCCGACCUGAGAGGGUGAUCGGCCACACGGGAACUGAGACACGGCCCAGCCUCCUACGGGGGGCAGCAGUAGGGAAUCGCCCGCAAAGGGGGAAAGCCUGAAGGAGCCACGCCGCGUGAGUGAUGAAGGUCUUCGGAUCUUAAAACUUUGUUAUUAGGGAAAAAAAAAUGUGAAAGUAACUAUGCACGUCUUGACGGUACCUAAUCAGAAAGCCCCGGCUAACUACGUG
rnacentral:rRNA from 1 species